ensembl:misc_RNA
GUGAAAGUUUCAUUUGAUCUAAACAACAUUCAGAUCAAAUACAUGGAUGAAGAUAAUGAUGAG